rnacentral:rRNA from 1 species
CAGCAGUGAGGAAUCUUCCACAAUGGGCGAAAGCCUGAUGGAGCAACGCCGCGUGAAGGAUGAAGGCCUUCGGGUUGUAAACUUCUUUUAUGAGUGAAGAAUAUGACGGUAACUCAUGAAUAAGCACCGGCUAACUACGUGCCAGCAGCCGCGGUCAUACGUAGGGUGCAAGCAUUAUCCGGAGUGACUGGGCGUAAAGAGUUGCGUAGGCGGUUUAAUAAGUGAAUAGUGAAACCUGGUGGCUCAACCAUACAGACUAUUAUUCAAACUGUUAAACUCGAGAAUGGUAGAGGUAACUGGAAUUUCUAGUGUAGGAGUGAAAUCCGUAGAUAUUAGAAGGAACACCGAUGGCGUAGGCAGGUUACUGGGCCAUUUCUGACGCUAAGGCACGAAAGCGUGGGGAGCGAACCGGAUUAGAUACCCGGGUAGUCCACGCCGUAAACGAUGGAUACUAGCUGUUGGAGGUAUCGACCCCUUCAGUAGCGAAGCUAACGCGUUAAGUAUCCCGCCUGUGGAGUACGGCCGCAAGGCUAAAACAUAAAGGAAUUGACGGGGACCCGCACAAGCGGUGGAUUAUGUUCUUUAAUUCGAUGAUAACCGAAGAACCUUACCAGGGCUUGACAUCCAGGGAAGGUCUGCGAAAGUAGACUGUGCCUUUUGGAACCCUGUGACAGGUGAUGCAUGGCCGUCGUCAGCUCGUGUCGUGAGAUGUUAGGUUAAGUCCUUCAACGAGCGCAACCCUUGUGAAUAGUUGUAUUUUUCUAUUCAGACUGCCCCGGUAACGGGGAGGAAGGAGGGGAUGAUGUCAGGUCAGUAUUUCCCUUACGUCCUGGGCUAGAAACGUAAUACAAUGGCUAGUACAAUGCGCAGCGAAGCCGCGAGGUGAAGCAAAUCGCAUCAAAGCUAGUCCCAGUUCGGAUUGUAGGCUGAAACUCGCCUGCAUGAAGUCGGAAUCGCUAGUAAUCGCAAAUCAGCAAGUUGCGGUGAAUACGUUCCCGGGUCUUGUACACACCGCCCGUCAAACCAUGAAAGUGACCAACACCCGAAGUCCGAUUCGUCGGCCUAAGGUGGGGGGCAUGAUUGGGGUUAAGUCGUAACAAGGUAUCCGUACCGGAAGGUGCGGAUG